rnacentral:scRNA from 1 species
GCAAGGCCCCGAUAUACAGUGUGGCCUGCCCCGGCACAAUCCCCCCCCGUUGCCGGGUUACUGACGGCCCGCGCACACCCCCCCGAGGCGCGGGCCGUCCCUUAUUUU